rnacentral:rRNA from 1 species
GUGGGGAAUCUUCCGCAAUGGACGAAAGUCUGACGGAGCAACGCCGCGUGAGUGAAGAAGGUCUUCGGAUUGUAAAGCUCUGUCGUUUGGGACGAACGUGGGAUGUGUGAAUAAUGCAUCCUAAUGACGGUACCAAAGGAGGAAGCCACGGCUAACUACGUGCCAGCAGCCGCGGUAAUACGUAGGUGGCAAGCGUUGUCCGGAAUUAUUGGGCGUAAAGGGCGUGUAGGUGGGUAAUUAAGUCGUGUGUCUAAGUGCGAAGCUCAACUUCGUAUGGGCGCAGGAAACUGAUUAUCUUGAGUGCAGGAGAGGAAAGUGGAAUUCCCAGUGUAGCGGUGAAAUGCGUAGAUAUUGGGAGGAACACCAGUGGCGAAGGCGACUUUCUGGACUGUGUCUGACACUGAGGCGCGAAAGCCAGGGGAGCGAACGGGAUUAGAAACCCUGGUAGUCC